rnacentral:rRNA from 1 species
UUAGAGUUUGAUCCUGGCUCAGGACGAACGCUUGCGGCGUGCCUAACACAUGCAAGUCGAACGGACAAAAGAGCUUCGGUUUUUUUGUUAGUGGCGGACGGGCGAGUAACGCGUGAGUAACCUGCCCAUCAGUGGGGAAUAACGACUGGAAACGGUCGCUAAUACCGCAUAACAUAUCGUGAUGGCAUCAUCGUGAUAUCAAAGGAGCAAUUCGCUGAAGGAUGGACUCGCGUCCGAUUAGCUAGUUGGUGAGGUAACGGCUCACCAAGGCGACGAUCGGUAGCCGAACUGAGAGGUUGAUCGGCCGCAUUGGGACUGAGACACGGCCCACACUCCUACGGGAGGCAGCAGUGGGGAAUAUUGCACAAUGGGGGGAAACCCUGAUGCAGCGACGCCGCGUGAGCGACGAAGGUUUUCGAAUCGUAAAGCUCUGUCCUUGGAGAAGAUAAUGACGGUAACCAAGGAGGAAGCACCGGCUAAAUACGUGCCAGCAGCCGCGGUAAUACGUAUGGUGCGAGCGUUGUCCGGAAUUAUUGGGCGUAAAGGGUACGUAGGCGGUUUAGCAAGUCAGAUGUUAAAGCGUGGGGCUUAACCCCAUAAAGCAUUUGAAACUGUUAAACUUGAGUAGUGGAGAGGAAAGUGGAAUUCCUAGUGUAGCGGUGAAAUGCGUAGAUAUUAGGAGGAAUACCAGUUGCGAAGGCGACUUUCUGGACACAAACUGACGCUGAGGUACGAAAGCGUGGGGAGCAAACAGGAUUAGAUACCCUGGUAGUCCACGCCGUAAACGAUGAAUGCUAGGUGUCGGGGGUCAAACCUCGGUGCCGAAGUUAACACAUUAAGCAUUCCGCCUGGGGAGUACGGUGGCAACACUGAAACUCAAAAGAAUUGACGGGAACCCGCACAAGCAGCGGAGCAUGUGGUUUAAUUCGAUGCAACGCGAAGAACCUUACCAGGGCUUGACAUAUAUGCGCUAGCACUAGAGAUAGUGGGUUCUCUUCGGAGACGCAUAUACAGGUGGUGCAUGGUUGUCGUCAGCUCGUGUCGUGAGAUGUUGGGUUAAGUCCCGCAACGAGCGCAACCCCUAUAUUUAGUUACCAGCAUUUAAGGUGGGGACUCUAGAUAGACUGCCGGUGAUAAACCGGAGGAAGGUGGGGACGACGUCAAAUCAUCAUGCCCUUUAUGUCCUGGGCUACACACGUGCUACAAUGGCCGGUACAGAGGGAAGCGAAGCCGUGAGGUGAAGCGAAUCUCAUAAAGCCGGCCCCAGUUCGGAUUGUAGGCUGCAACUCGCCUACAUGAAGCCGGAGUUGCUAGUAAUCGCAAAUCAGAAUGUUGCGGUGAAUGCGUUCCCGGGUCUUGCACACAGCGCCCGUCA